UGUGUAUAAUAUGUAUAUGUGCAUGUCCAUGUGUGUAUAUCCACUGCAUACAUGCACAUAUAACACAUAUCCUCAACUCUUUAUACAAUUUACACAAGAGU
ensembl:miRNA